AUUGAACGCUGGCGGCAUGCCUUACACAUGCAAGUCGAACGGUAACGCGGGGCAACCUGGCGACGAGUGGCGAACGGGUGAGUAAUGCAUCGGAACAUGCCCAGUAGUGGGGGAUAGCCCGGCGAAAGCCGGAUUAAUACCGCAUACGACCUAAGGGUGAAAGCGGGGGAUCGCAAGACCUCGCGCUAUUGGAGUGGCCGAUGUCAGAUUAGGUAGUUGGUGGGGUAAAGGCCUACCAAGCCGACGAUCUGUAGCUGGUCUGAGAGGACGACCAGCCACACUGGGACUGAGACGCGGCCCAGACUCCUACGGGAGGCAGCAGUGGGGAAUUUUGGACAAUGGGGGAAACCCUGAUCCAGCCAUGCCGCGUGCGGGAAGAAGGCCUUCGGGUUGUAAACCGCUUUUGUCCGGGAAGAAAUCCUUUGAGCUAAUACCUCGGAGGGAUGACGGUACCUGAAGAAUAAGCACCGGCUAACUACGUGCCAGCCGCCGCGGUAAUAC
rnacentral:rRNA from 1 species